rnacentral:rRNA from 1 species
UGGCUCAUUAUAUAAGUUAUCGUUUAUUUGAUAGUACCUUACUACUUGGAUAACCGUGGUAAUUCUAGAGCUAAUACAUGCUGAAAAUCCCGACUUCGGAAGGGAGGUAUUUAUUAGAUUAAAAACCAAUGCCCUCUGGGCUCCUUGGUGAUUCAUAAUAACUUUUCGAAUCGCACGGCCUUGCGCCGGCGAUGGUUCAUUCAAAUUUCUUCCCUAUCAACUUUCGAUGUUUGGGUAUUGGCCAAACAUGGUCGCAACGGGUAACGGAGGGUUAGGGCUCGACCCCGGAGAAGGAGCCUGAGAAACGGCUACUACAUCCAAGGAAGGCAGCAGGCGCGCAAAUUACCCAAUCCCGAUUCGGGGAGGUAGUGACAAUAAAUACUGAUACAGGGCUCUUUUGGGUCUUGUAAUUGGAAUGAGUACAAUUUAAAUCUCUUAACGAGGAACAAUUGGAGGGCAAGUCUGGUGCCAGCAGCCGCGGUAAUUCCAGCUCCAAUAGCGUAUAUUAAAGUUGUUGUGGUUAAAAAGCUCGUAGUUGAACCUUGGGCCUGGCUGGCCGGUCCGCCUCACCGCGUGUACUGGUCCGGCCGGGCCUUUCCCUCUGUGGAACCUCAUGCCCUUCACUGGGUGUGGCGGGGAAACAGGACUUUUACUUUGAAAAAAUUAGAGUGCUCCAGGCAGGCCUAUGCUCGAAUACAUUAGCAUGGAAUAAUAAAAUAGGACGCGUGGUUCUAUUUUGUUGGUUUCUAGGACCGCCGUAAUGAUUAAUAGGGACAGUCGGGGGCAUCAGUAUUCAAUUGUCAGAGGUGAAAUUCUUAGAUUUAUUGAAGACUAACUACUGCGAAAGCAUUUGCCAAGGAUGUUUUCAUUAAUCAGGAACGAAAGUUAGGGGAUCGAAGACGAUCAGAUACCGUCGUAGUCUUAACCAUAAACUAUGCCGACUAGGGAUCGGACGAUGUUAUUUUUUGACGCGUUCGGCACCUUACGAGAAAUCAAAGUGCUUGGGCUCCAGGGGGAGUAUGGUCGCAAGGCUGAAACUUAAAGAAAUUGACGGAAGGGCACCACCAGGGGUGGAGCCUGCGGCUUAAUUUGACUCAACACGGGGAAACUCACCAGGUCCAGACACAAUGAGGAUUGACAGAUUGAGAGCUCUUUCUUGAUUUUGUGGGUGGUGGUGCAUGGCCGUUCUUAGUUGGUGGAGUGAUUUGUCUGCUUAAUUGCGAUAACGAACGAGACCUUAACCUGCUAAAUAGCCUGUAUUGCUUUGGCAGUACGCCGGCUUCUUAGAGGGACUAUCGGCUCAAGCCGAUGGAAGUUUGAGGCAAUAACAGGUCUGUGAUGCAGG